UACGGAGGGUGCGAGCGUUAAUCGGAAUAACUGGGCGUAAAGGGCACGCAGGCGGUUGUUUAAGUGAGAUGUGAAAUCCCCGAGCUUAACUUGGGAACUGCAUCUCAGACUGGACAACUAGAGUACUUUAGGGAGGGGUAGAAUUCCACGUGUAGCGGUGAAAUGCGUAGAGAUGUGGAGGAAUACCGAUGGCGAAGGCAGCCCCCUGGGAUAACACUGACGCUCAUGCACGAAAGCGUGGGGAGCAAACA
rnacentral:rRNA from 1 species